rnacentral:lncRNA from 1 species
UCCUUUUUUCCUGUGUUAGGUGCAAUGGUCCAUGCCUUCUCUGUCUGUAGUAGCUCGUCUGGAAGGAAACGGUAUCUGAAGAAUGACAACUCCACGAACUAAAAAUACACUUAUAAACAAGUCACAGGAAUUCACAAACUGACCAGAACGGGAAAAGGAUCUCCGUUUCAUUCUGUUCAUCUCUUCUUCAGUCUUCAUCACAGUGUCUCUUUGUGUUGUACUGUUAUGACGCCAUGUCUCAAACAGGGAAAGUCCUUCAUUUGUAUGUGGAGGUGAGAUCCUCACCAGAGCAUGAUGGGAAAGAUAGUUCCUGUGAGACGACAGUGGAGAAAGAUGGUCCCGUUGAGGCUUUGACCAAAUUAGCACAGGCAGCAUCUGGGUUUCCCGCACCUCCCAGCAGCUCAUUCAAACCAAAUGUUAGCUUCAGACUGCAGCCUUCACACAGUUCUUUGGAUUCCCCUCAAAGAUGCAGCACUCCCCAACAGGAACCAUUCCAACAGGUGCCCUCUGUCCUCAACAACAACAUUGACAGUAAACAAUUAAAACAUGCCCACUCGUCACACUCCGGACAGACAUCUGGUCCCGGAACGCAUUGUCAAACCUGCAGCCAUCACAAGAACUCUAAACCAGAGCUCAGACAGAGGUCCGUGGUCACUUUCAGCUACAUUGAGAAGGCCCAGAUCAAAACCGUAGAGAGUCCUUGUAAUAGCCCCGGUGGAAUAAAGGAGGUAGCGGCUUGCCCACGUAAGAGGUAUAGUGAUCCAGUGUGGUCGCAACCUGCGGAAUCUUCCUGCAAUAAUAGCCCAUUUCACCAGCACAUGGGUUCUACUUUGAAUUCUAUCGGUCAAGUUGCAACACAGCGAGCCCUGAAGGAAUUUGGGUCUCCCCAAUUGAGGUGUAAGUUUUCUCAUUGCUCAGAGUGGAGUCCAGAGUUUCAUCAACACCAGAGAGAACGAUGCCAGUCUUGGGCAGGUCCACCCAUGCCAAACUGCAGUGCCUACCGCCAUGAUCCUGACCCAGGCAGGGUAGGAGCUGCGUGUGGUGUCCACAAAAGCCCAGCAUCAGAUGCUUUCUCAUCCCACACAGGGCACAACAGCCAGCAGAAAUCCACCUCCAGGUCCCAAGGAUGCCCCAAGCAGAACCUCAUUUCAAAGCAAGACUGCUCUGCUCCAGUCAGUCAAAGAUCGGGAAGCUGGGGUGAAGGCAGGCCUCUGUCAGAGCAAAGGACCAGCCUCACAAACACACCCACUCAUGGUUUGAACCAGCUGAGUGGAAGCAAUAACUCCUCAGCUCUGAACAAUCCUGAGAUAGUCCACAAGAUUGCUGAAGAGGCCACCAAGGUGUCA